rnacentral:rRNA from 1 species
AGCUCCAAUAGCGUAUAUUUUAGUUGUUGCAGUUAAAAAGCUCGUAGUAGAAUUUCUGGUGGGGGAAUGCAGUUCAAGCUAUGCUUGAUACUCGCACUCUCCGGCCAUCUUUGAGUGGAGCCUGUCUGGCAUUAAGUUGUCGGGCUGGGGAUGCUCAUCGUUUACUGUGAAAAAAUUAGAGUGUUCAAAGCAGACUCAUGUCGUUGAAUAUAUUAGAAUGGGAUAAUAAGAUAAGACUUCGGUACUAUUUUGUUGGUUAGGUGCCGUUGUAAUGAUGAACAGGGACAGUUGUGGGUAUUCGUAUUCACUUGUAAGAGGUGAAAUUCUUAGAUUAAGGGAAGACGAACUACUGCGAAAGCAUUUACCAAGGAUGUUUUCA